rnacentral:rRNA from 1 species
CCUACGGGGGGCAGCAGUGGGGAAUAUUGGGCAAUGGGCGCAAGCCUGACCCAGCAACGCCGCGUGAAGGAAGAAGGCUUUCGGGUUGUAAACUUCUUUUCUCAGGGACGAAGCAAGUGACGGUACCUGAGGAAUAAGCGACGGCUAACUACGUGCAAGCAGCCGCGGUAAUACGUAGGUGGCAAGCGUUAUCCGGAUUUACUGGGUGUAAAGGGUGUGUAGGCGGGAAGGCAAGUUAGAUGUGAAAACCAUGGGCUCAACCUGUGGCCUGCAUUUGAAACUGUUUUUCUUGAGUACUGGUGAGGCAGACGGAAUGUCUAGUGUAGCGGUGAAAUGCGUAGAUAUUAUGAGGAACACCAGUGGCGAAGGCGGUCUGCUAGACAGCUACUGACGCUGAGGCGCGAAAGCGUGGGGAGCAAACAGGAUUAGAUACCCCUGUAGUC